UGGGGUUCUAUGGGGUUCUAUUGGGUGGUUAUGGGGUUCUAUGGGCUUUUUAUGGGGUUCUAUGGGGUUCUAUGGAGUCACUGUGGGAUUUUAUGGGAUCUAUGGGGUUCUGUGGGGUUCCAUGGGGUUGUAUGGGGAUCUAUGGGGUUCUAUGGGGUUUUUAUAGGGGAUAUAUGGGGUUCUUUGGGGUUAUAUGGGGUUCUAUGGGAAUCCAUGGGGUUCUAUGGGCUUCUAUGGGGUUCUUUGAGGUUCUAUGGGGUUCUAUAGGGUUCUAUGGGAUUCUAUAGGGUUCUAUGGGGUCACUGUGGUGAUCUAUGGGAUUCUAUGGGGUCACGGUGGAAUUUUAUGGGGUCAGGGGGUUCUAUGGGGUUCUAUGGUGUUCCAUGGGGUUUUAUGGGGAUCUAUGGGGUUUUAUGGGGUUCUAUGGGGUUCUAUGGGGUGGUUAUGGGGUUCUGUGGGGUUCUAUGGGCUUCUAUGGGGUUUUAUGGGGUUUUUGUGGAUCUAUGGGGUUCUAUGGGGUUUUUAUAGGGGAUAUGUGGGAUUCUAUGGGAUUCUAUGGGGUCACUGUGGGACUUUAUGGGGUCAGGAGGUUCUAUGGGCUUCUAUGGGGUUCUAUGGGGAAUCUAUGGGGUUCUAUGGGGUUUCUAUGGGGUCUCUGUGGGGUUCUAUGGGGUUUUGGGGUCUCUAUGGGGUCUCUAUGGGGUCUCUAUGGGGUUCUAUGGGGUCACUAUGGGAUUCUAUGGGGAUCUAUGGGGUUCUAUGCGGUUCUUUAGGGUUCUAUGUGGUUCUAUGGGGUCACCGUGGGAUUUUAUGGGAUCUAUGGGGUUCUAUGGGAUUCUAUGGGGUUCUGUGGGGUCACUGUGGGAUUUUAUGGGGUCAGGAGGUUCUAUGGGGAUCUAUGGGGUUCUAUGGGGUUUCUAUGGGUUUCUAUGGGAUUCGAUGGGGUUCUGUAGGGUUCUAUGGGGGAUCUAUGGGGUUUUAUGGGGUUUUUAUAGGGGAUAUAUGGGGUUCUAUGGGAUUCUAUGGGGUUCUAUGGGGUUCCGUGGGGUUCCAUGGGGUUCUAUGGGGUUCCGUGGGGUCACUGUGGGAUUUUAUGGGGUCAGGAGGUUCUAUGGGGUUCUAUGGGUUUCUGUAGUGUUCUAUGGGGUUCUAUGGGGUUGUUAUGGGGUUCUAUGGGGUUCUUUGAGGUUCUAUCGGGUUCUAUAGGGUUCUGUGGGAUUCUAUAGGGUUCUAUGGGGUCACUGUGGGAUUUUAUGGGGUCAUGGGGUGUUAUGGGGUUCCAUGGGGGUUCUAUGGGAUUCUAUGGGGUCACUGUGGCAUUUUAAGGGGUCAGAGAAUUCUAUGGGGUUCUAUGGGGAUCUAUGGGGUGUCUAUGGGGUUUCUAUGGGAUUCUAUGGGGUUCCAUGGGGUUCUAUGGGGAUCUAUGGGAUCUAUGGGAUUCUAUGGGGUCACUGUGGGACUUUAUGGGGUCAGGAGGUUCUAUGGGCUUCUAUGGGGUUCUAUGGGGAAUCUAUGGGGUUCUAUGGGGUUUUAUGGGGUUCUAUGGGGUCACUGUGGUGAUCUAUGGGAUUCUAUGGGGUCACUGUGGGAUUUUAUGGGUCAGGGGGUUCUAUGGGGUUCUAUGGGGAUCUAUGGGGUUUUUUGGGGAUCUAUGGGUUUCUAGGGGGUCACAAUGGAAUCCUAUGGGGUUUUAUGCGGUUCUAUGCGAUUCUAUGGGGUCACUGUGGGAUUUUAUGGGGUCAGGGGAUUCCAUGGGGUUCUAUGGGGUUCUAUGGGAUCUAUGGGGUGUCUAUGGUGUUUCUAUGGGAUUCUAUGGGGUUCGAUGGGGUUCUUUGAGGUUCUAUGGGGUUCUAUAGGGUUCUAUGGGUUUCUAUAGGGUUCUAUGGGGUCACUGUGGGACUUUAUGGGGUCAGGAGGUUCUAUGGGGUUCUAUGGGGUUCUAUGCGGUCACUAUGGGAUUCUAUGGGGAUCUAUGGGGUUCUAUGGGAUUCUAUAUGGUUCUAUGGGGGAUCUAUGGGGUUUUAUGGGGUUCUUUGGGAUUCUAUGGGGUUCUAUGGGCUUUAUGGGGUUUUUAUGGGGUUCUAUGGGGUUCUAUGGGGUCACUGUGGGAUUUUAUGGGAUCUAUGGGGUUCUAU
rnacentral:lncRNA from 1 species